CAGAUUGUGACGUAAUGGUAUCGUGUCUGCAUUGGGUGUAGAAUGCUGAGGGUUCGAGUCCUUCCAAUCUGA
rnacentral:tRNA from 1 species